rnacentral:rRNA from 1 species
AUACGUAGGUGGCAAGCGUUAUCCGGAUUUAUUGGGCGUAAAGGGUGCGCAGGCGGUCUGUUUAGUCUGAGGUGAAAGCGUUGAGCUUAACUCAAUUAAGCCUCGGAUACUGGCAGACUAGAGUGCAGAAGAGGGUUAUGGAAUUCCAUGUGUAGCGGUAAAAUGCGUAGAUAUAUGGAGGAACACCGGCGGCGAAGGCGGUAACCUGGUCUGUUACUGACGCUCAGGCACGAAAGCGUGGGGAGCAAAUAGGAUUAGAUACCCUAGUAGUCCACGCCCUAAACGAUGAUUACUAAAUGUUGGGGAAGCUCAGUGUUGUAGCUAACGCAAUAAGUAAUCCGCCUGGGGAGUAUGCACGCAAGUGUGAAACUCAAAGGAAUUGACGGGG